GGCCGCCUGGCAUAAUGGCAAUGCGUCUGACUACGAUGCGCUUUCUUCGAAAUCAGGAGAUUGCAGGUUCGAUCCCUGCGGUGGUCA